UACGUAGGGUGCAAGCGUUAAUCGGAAUUACUGGGCGUAAAGCGUGCGCAGGCGGUUUUGUAAGUUUGUCGUGAAAGCCCCGGGCUCAACCUGGGAAUUGCGAUGAAGACUGCAAGGCUUGAAUCUGGCAGAGGGGGUAGAAAUUCCACGUGUAGCAGUGAAAUGCGUAGAGAUGUGGAGGAACACCGAUGGCGAAGGCAGCCCCCUGGGUCAAGAUUGACGCUCAUGCACGAAAGCGUGGGAGCAAACAGG
rnacentral:rRNA from 1 species